AGUAAAGUUGGAGAACUGAGCCAAGGGACAAAGUCAAGUGUCAGCUCAGCCUUUGCAAAGCAAACGUGCUUUGUGCUGUUUCUGGCCAGAGCAGAUGUGGCCUUGGUGGACUGUGAGGAACAUUAUGUCUCAGGCCCUGUAAGCAAGACAGUGGGGUCUUUUGGGGCAGCAGCCGUGAAGAGGGAAGCAGUUUAUUUAUCACUCUUUUUCAAUAUUCUGGGUGAAGAUGAGGCACUCAGAGAAGUGACUGUUCACCGGAGUGGUUCGAGAAACAUGGGGCCAUUUGGACAAGACAGACAGAAUCAAACAACAUAGAAAAAAUCUGGCAACCAGAAAGUUUAAAUGUGUCUGGUCCUGUUACAUGGUAUUUCUGUUGGACAGCUCUGGUCUCACAUGAGACAAUGGAGGUUAAAACAAGUCAUCUGCCAAGGCUGACGGAAGGAUGCCUGGAGAAGCAGCUGAAGCCUCUGCUGAAUGUUAAAAGAUGACCAGAAGUUGUCCAGGCAGAGGCAGAUCUAAAGGGCCCUCCAGAGGAAGGUAAUGGGACAGUUGUGGUAGGGCAUGA